rnacentral:lncRNA from 1 species
AAGAACCUUCUAUGUUAGGUCGACACCAAAGAGGGUCACGAAAUAUUCGUUUUUAAUAUUUUGAUUUGUACUAUUUCAACGGACCAUAUGUGUUAUAAAACUAAUCUAUUAAAUUAUCUCAAGUGGGUACAAAACAAUUAGGGGUGUAACAAUAAAUUUGAUUUUAUCCAAGAGUAGGCACCUCUCGUGUCACGUUCUUC